rnacentral:lncRNA from 1 species
AAAUGUCGAGGUGGCGCUUAGCGGUUCGAAUCUCGUGGUGCGCGUGAAAUCUUUUCUCGUUCAUUUAAAACGCAUUUCAUAGAAGAAAACGCACCUGUGAAUGCAACCUGACAACAUUAUCAAUGACGUCAUUUCGGUACCUGUCAGCCUUCCAUUUGGUGUCGUCUUGUUGGCAAAAGUCUUGUGUUCCCUCGAAAUAGGGACGGCUAAAUUCAGACGCGAGGUGAACGAUCGGCUGCUACACUCGGAUCGCCAAAACAAAUCUCGUCCGGCUUCGACCCGUCUUCUACAUAUUAUUUUUUUUAUUUUUUUUUUUUCCUUAUCGCUGUGUUUCCGUACUUUGGCCAAACGAUCGG